rnacentral:lncRNA from 1 species
UUAGGGGAAGGUUGAUUUAAUCUGAAAGUGCAAACACUUCCAAACUGGAUAUGCUUACAUCCCAGCUCACACAAGCACAUUCUUUAUUCCCUGGCAGUGAAGAAUAUGCGAUGAAACAAAGAUUUCUCUGACGUCGGCAUUGUAGAGCCCCCUUUCUUCCUUCUCUCCUUCUCUCCCCUACCGUUCAGUUUUGGAUUCAGGGGUCAGAGAGGUUCAGUUUGGGGAUUGAAUUACAAUGUUGUCACUAUUUUGGAAAGGAAAAUGCUGGCUGAGAACGUGAAACUCUUUUUUCUCCCAUUUUGCGUGGGAUUAUUUCAUCAGCUCCUGAAAUGCAAAACCUCCUGUGGCAAGAGAGGAAAGGCAGUCUUGUGACUGCGGCUCUGACCUGAAGGACAUGCUGUCUCCAAGUAUGAUUUCAUUCAGGUAGUGGGAGCAAGAGCUGCAGUAAAACACAAAAAGAUUUGCCUUAGGCAGACAGGUGAGCUCAGUUUUUUCUCUCUUUCUUCCUGACUUUGUGAUCACACUAUGCACAUAAUCAGACUGUCUGCCUGCUCCAAACAGAACAUUCCUUUAUGG